CCUUCGGGCCUGCCGCCUGGAGAUUGGCCCGCGUCCCAUUAGCUUGUUGGCGGGGUAAAGGCCCACCAAGGCGACGAUGGGUAGCCGGCCUGAGAGGGUGUCCGGCCACACUGGGAUUGAGAUACGGCCCAGACUCCUUCGGGAGGCAGCAGUCGAGAAUCUUCCCCAAUGGGCGAAAGCCUGAGGGAGCGACGCCGCGUGAGGGAUGAAGGCCCUUUGGGUUGUAAACCUCUGUUAGGGGGAAAGAAAAGCAGUGGAAGCAAUAUGUCCAUUGCCUGACGUUACCCCCAGAGAAAGCUCCGGCCAACUCCGUGCCAGCAGCCGCGGUAAUACGGGGGGAGCAAGCGUUGUCCGGAAUCAUUGGGCGUAAAGGGCGUGUAGGCGGCUUGGCAAGUCGAAUGUGAAAUCCCACGGCUCAACCGUGGAACUGCGUUCGAAACUGCCUUGCUUGAGUGCGGGAGAGGUGUGCGGAAUUCCUGGUGUAGCGGUGGAAUGCGUAGAUAUCAGGAAGAACACCGGUGGCGAAGGCGGCACACUGGCCCAGCACUGACGCUGAGGCGCGAAAGCGUGGGGAGCGAACGGGAUUAGAUACCCCGGUAGUCCACGCUGUAAACUUUGGGCACUAGGUAUUGGAGGUCUCAACCCCUUCAGUGCCGUAGCUAACGCGUUAAGUGCCCCGCCUGGGGAGUACGGUCGCAAGGCUGAAACUCAAAGGAAUUGACGGGGGCCCGCACAAGCGGUGGAGCAUGUGGUUUAAUUCGAUGCAACGCGAAGAACCUUACCGGGGUUUGACAUGGGAGCCUCGCCGCAAGGCGAGGUCAGCCCUAUGAAAGUAGGGUGUGUCCACACAGGUGCUGCAUGGCUGUCGUCAGCUCGUGUCAUGAGAUGUUGGGUUAAGUCCCGCAACGAGCGCAACCCUCGCCGAUAGUUACCAACGGGUCAUGCCGGGGACUCUAUCGAGACUGCCGGUGAUAAACCGGAGGAAGGUGGGGAUGAUGUCAAGUCAUCAUGGCCCUUACAUCCCGGGCUACACACGUGCUACAAUGGUCGGUACAGCGGGUUGCAAUACCGCGAGGUGGAGCAAAUCCUCAAAGCCGGCCUCAGUACGGAUUGGAGUCUGCAACUCGACUCCAUGAAGCCGGAAUCGCUAGUAAUCGCGGAUCAGAAUGCCGCGGUGAAUACGUUCCCGGGCCUUGUACACACCGCCCGUCAAGCCAUGGGAAUCGGCAGCACUCGAAGUCAAA
rnacentral:rRNA from 1 species